GGGGUAGAAAUGUGUUAUUUCCCAGCGAAAAGUGGUAUUUUCGGGAAGGAAGUGCAGAAUUUUUGGGAGACAGGUGGUAUUUUUGGAUGAAAAUGCAUGAUUUUCGAGAGAAAAGUGGUAUUUCUCGAGAGAAAAUGCGUGAUUUUGGGGUGAAAGGUGGUAUAUUUGGGGGAGAAAUGUGUUAUUUCCCAGCGAAAAGUGGUAUUUUCGGGAAGGAAUGCAGAAUUUUUGGGAGACAGGUGGUAUUUUUGGAUGAAAAUGCAUGAUUUUCGAGAGAAAAGUGGUAUAUUUGGGGUAGAAAUGCGUUAUUACCCAGCGACAAGUGGUGUUUUCGCGCAGAAAAUGCGUGAUUUUCGUGAGAAAAGUGGUAUUUCUCGAGAGAAAAUGCGUGAUUUUGGGGUGAAAGGUGGUAUAUUUGGGGGAGAAAUGUGUUAUUUCCCAGCCAAAAGUGGUAUUUUCGGGUAGAAAAUGCGUGAUGUUUGGACAGAGGUGCGUUUUUUCGGGGGGAAAUGCGUGAUUUUUG
ensembl:lncRNA